AUUGAACGCUGGCGGCAGGCCUAACACAUGCAAGUCGAGCGGAUGAAGGGAGCUUGCUCCUGGAUUCAGCGGCGGACGGGUGAGUAAUGCCUAGGAAUCUGCCUGGUAGUGGGGGAUAACGUCCGGAAACGGGCGCUAAUACCGCAUACGUCCUGAGGGAGAAAGUGGGGGAUCUUCGGACCUCACGCUAUCAGAUGAGCCUAGGUCGGAUUAGCUAGUUGGUGGGGUAAAGGCCUACCAAGGCGACGAUCCGUAACUGGUCUGAGAGGAUGAUCAGUCACACUGGAACUGAGACACGGUCCAGACUCCUACGGGAGGCAGCAGUGGUGAAUAUUGGACAAUGGGCGAAAGCCUGAUCCAGCCAUGCCGCGUGUGUGAAGUAGGUCUUCGGAUUGUAAAGCACUUUAAGUUGGGAGGAAGGGCAAUAAGUUAAUACCUUGCUGUUUUGACGUUACCAACAGAAUAAGCACCGGCUAACUUCGUG
rnacentral:rRNA from 1 species